rnacentral:lncRNA from 1 species
GUUUUGAGAGACGACGACUUCCCAUCAGAAAGCUGAGGGCUGAGGACCCUCUGGAGCCCGCCGUGCAUGAGCGCUCAGGACGGGCUCAGUCAGUCCUCAGGUUACACGUGGCAUUUCUUUAACGUUUCAGUCACUCGUGUUCUAUGAUCAUACUCUGUAAUGCUUCCAAGUUUUCAAUCUUUCCUUUGAAGUUUCUAGAUUCUGAAAUAACUGGAGUUGGCCCAGAGUGCAGAUAGCUUGGAAUUACUGAAAUAUCACCUAAAAGCUGGUUUUGGAAGCACAUCCCUUGCGGUCUGGUUGGGCAGGCGCAGAGGAGGCCAGGAUCAAGGGUCUGGGUCCCCUGUGCCUUUGUCAGUGGACACAGGACACGGGGCACGCAAGCUGGGGUCUGGACACAGGACACAGGGCACGCAAGCACGCAAGCUUGAGGCCCAACGUUGUGUGCUUCCUCUGCCCCUGGGGAUUAGGUUCUGGUGGUCUUUGAUGUGAUAAACAAAGGCAGAAGCUUACUGACAAGUCCUUGAGACAGGGAGAGUGACCUUACCCUGGGGACUCAACUGCCUUGAUGUUGACACUUUGCCAAGGGCCAAAGACAAGUGUCAGCCCAUCCCCCCAGGACCCUGCGAGUUUACUUUAACACAUAAAAAUCCCUUUGGGAAUGUCCUUUAUCUAAAUCCCCCAAGAUAUGGGUUGGCAAUCGGCCUUCCGCCCUAGGCCCACUGAUACACGUCUGAGCGGCCUCCUGACUGAGGGUUUACUAAGCGAUCGUAAAUGACCUUUCUCAACAACAGCAAGCCUGGAAACUUUGCUUCCAAAAUUCCUCAGAGACUGACGCGACCGCCGACAUUUUGGAGGGGGUGUUUCAUAACUCACGGGGACUCGGCGGAGGAGUCAGGAACGAGCUCCCCCACCCUGACCUGGAGUAACCAGACAUAUUCGUCCUUCGCAGACCUCAUGGUGCUUAGACUCCAGAGCGAAAGGACUUGUGUCCUCUAAGCACGUGUUCCUUCAGCCCGCGCUGGUCAGGUGUGGACCCGCCAGACCCCCUUCGAAGCACAGACCUGCCCUUCCUGAAGGACCACCGAGAUGAGGUGAACCAUCCGUCUCCCGGGCCAGGAGCCGGGUUCCGAGCAAGGCCACCGUGACGCGAACGCCAUCGGUCCUCCGGAGGUGGCGGGAAACAGCUGUAAAUGCGGUUUUCCCAAAGCUGCUCUCCGGGAGCCGACUCAGCCGAAGCCGCACGGGUUCUUUCCAUUCCCCGCCCUGCACUUUGUCCGUCUAGCUGCUGCUUUGCGUGGACUCGUGGAAAGCCUUGUGUGGGUGGUAGAGAGUGCCAUCCUUUGGGGGUCCCUACAGGGUGGAGGGUCUGUAGUCAGAUGUAGGAUCCUGUCGCCCCGCCACGGGCCUCCCAGGUGUUGGUGCGUGGUGAGUCGUUAAGGCUCAGUAGAAUGCCCUAAACUUUGAAUAUUCAAGAAAUAAAACACCGCGGGCUUACGCCGAACGGAUACGC